UCAUAGGAGAUGACAGCUCCAGGCGUGUUGCUGCUCCAAAGACCUUCUAGUGGGAAAAGUUGCAGAGGUGGAAGACAGUAAUCUUGACGAUCCUUACCCUGUAUAGACCUAGGCUAAUGUGUGUGUUUGUCUUUUUUAUUGUUUUUUUAAGACAGAAUCUUGCUCUGUCACCCAGGCUAGAGUGCAGUGGCGCGAUCUCAGCCCACUGCAACCUCUCCUGUGCCACAAAGGGAGACUCCAUCUCAAAAAAUAUAUAUAAUAAUAAUUUUUAUAAAUUAAGAGUAGCCUAAGUAUACAGUGUUUAUAAAGCGUACAAUAAUUCCUAGGCCUUCGUAUUCACUCACUCACUCACUCACUCACCCAGAGCAACUUCCAGUCCUACAAACUCCACUCAUGGUGAGUACCCAAUACACAUGUACCAUUUUUAUCUUAUAACUUUUUUUUUCCUUUAGUACUGUGUUUUUUACCAUACCUUCUCCAAGUUUAGAUAUACAAAUACUUAGACUUGUGUUACAAUUGCAUAUAGUAUCCAGUACAGUAACAUGCCAUGUAGGCUUGGAGCCUAGGACCACCGGGUUGUCCAUAUAGUCUAGGUGUGCAGUAGCCUAUACCAUCUAGGCUGUGUAAGUACACUCUAUGAUGUUCACACAAUGAUAAAAUCGCCUAACAACACAUUUCUCAAAACACAUUCCAGUCGUUCGGCAACACAUGACUAUAUAACCUAAAUGUUCCAGGCUCCACCUAUAGGGUUAAAAUUUUGGCCCACAAACACUAGCCCUCACAGGUGGGAGUUCCUGGAUAGGUUACCCUUAGUUGGCCAAAUCAAUAGCAUCAUCCUUCUGGUGUCUCCCCUUUUCCCCUUUCUCCUCUUUUUUUUUUUUUUUUUUUUAGACGGAGUCUCGUUCUGUCACCCAGGCUGCAGUGCAGUGGCACGAUCUUGGCUCACACCAUUUCCCCGGUUCAAGCGAUUCUCCUGCCUCAGCCACCCAUGUAGCUGAAACUACAGGUGCACGCCACCACGCCUAGUUAAAUUUUGUAGUUUUAGUAGAGAUGAGGUUUCACCAUGUUGGCCAGGCGGGUCUUGAAUGCCUGGCCUCAAGUGAUCCACCCGCCUCCAC
rnacentral:lncRNA from 1 species